ensembl:lncRNA novel transcript, antisense to CBLN1
GGCAGCAGGGUUGGGCUCUCGCCGUGAGUCGACGAAGGGAGCGCGGGCGCGCGCCCGCGUCCGCGCACUGAGAGUCGCCUCGGCCGCUCGCUUUCUCGACUCCCGCCUCGCGCCUCGAUCCUGUUCCGCCUCCCUCGGCCCUCCUGCCCGCCCCCACUCGUCGGCCCUCAGCAUUGUCUUUGAAUAUUAGCAAAUAAUGGAACAUGGGCCAAGGGUGAACCAUGACGAAUUUGUGUUCCAGCAGCCCUGCUUCUUUAGAAUUGACAGUCUGGCUUCGUGGUUAAUUCACAGCAUCUGAGGAAUACAUCCAAAGAGGGUGAUACUGUGGCAUGAUGGUACCAGGAUUCCAAGUUCAUUCCAGAGAAGAUGGCAAGAUGCAGAGAGGAGGAGUCACGCCUGAAGCCACACAGCUGACAUCAGAGCCAAAGCAUGAGCCUCAGUCUCUCUGACCCAGAGCUACCACCCUUGCUGCCUUGGGAAGAAGGAAGCCCCCUCCUAUUCUAUCCUUGAGCUGCCUUGGCAAGGAGGGGCCCCUUGCUGCCGCCAUCCUCACAGGACACCAUCCACAUGAGGGGAUGGUGAGCUCCACUUCCACCUUUUCUACAUGUCUGCUCUUUAAACUGCACACGUUGAUUCAUUCAUUCAUUCAUUCAUUCAUUCCCUUGAUAUUACCAUUCAUUUAUUCAUCAAGUAUUUAUUGAGCAUAUUUAUCUGCAUGGCAUUGUGCUAAUCGUAAUCAUCAUAUUCACCACUGCUGAGCAGAACAGUCAGGGUGCUGCCCUCAGGGAGUUACCAUGUAGUAAAGGAGACAGAUGGAAUCACACAGAGGAAUGCACGUCUGAUUGUAGCCUGACUGGAGUGCCAUGAAGGAGACCAAGAGGGCAGGGUGAUGGAGAAAGCACAGGAUGAAGUUCUCGUCUUCCUUCCAACAGAAUCUCAGUUGCACUCAGUUGUUGCCCCCCUCGAACCUCCCUUGAGCCUCAGGAGAAACCACCCUGAUUCAGAGGUCCAGAGAAGACCUGACUAGCCCAAGGUAAUUCCGUCCCCUUGCCAGAGUGGCUUGGGCAGGGACACGGGACCUAUUUCAAUGAGGCCAAUGAGACAAAGGUAUUUCUGCUGGGGAGGCAGGGGCUUCAAGCAAAGGGUCUUGCUUGAAAGAGCCACCGGAAGAGGGCUCUCUCCUUCCUUAGGGUGUCACCGUGUCUGGAUGCGAUGCCUGGAAGUGCUACAGCCACUCGCGCCCAGCCUGAAGAUGAAACCAACCCCAAACACAGCCAAGCAGAGAGAUGGAAAGAACUAGGACCCUAAUUACACCACUGAGCAGCUAUAGCAACCAGUUCCAGAGCCCUCUGACUUCCCGCCAAAGUGAGAUGAUAAGAUACUGUUUAAUUUCUCUCUUUUAUAGCCAAACACACCAAAAUUGACACAGAGAUGUGAGCCAUACCUACUACUGUUACUGCUCCAUCCCUAGCUCCAACCACAGUGCAUGGUACAUGGUAGAGAGCCAACAAACACUUGAAGAAUGAAUGGUGCAUAUUGAGUGGGAUUUUCCAGAGGCAGACCUGGAGACAAGGCUUCAAGUGCGUGUGUUGUAUUAAGGAAAUGCUCCCAGGGGACAAUAGCAGAGUGGCAGAAAUGGGACAAGGGGGCCAGGGAGCCAAGAACAGAGAAUCAAUCGUCUAAACAGAGCCCCCUGUUUUUUGUUUCACCUGGGAGUAGCUUCUACCUGAUCCCCAGGGGAACUCUGGGAUGUCAGUGACGGCUCAGCAUUGCCCCUGAGGCAAGGGAGCUGGGCUUUCCUAAUCCCCCACUCCUCAGUCUCUGGCUAAGCGCUGUCCCCAGGGGACUUAAUCACCCAAACACUUCCCCAAGAGUGGCAUCUGCUGACCACUGGAGGCACUGGUACAGUGAAGCGACAGAAGGGAUCAGAGAGGGUCCAGGUGGAGCACAGCAAUGUGGCUGAAUAAUAACUAUAUUAAUUCAUAUAGUUAAUUCUCAAGCAAUGGCAAAGUGUAGGCAGCUUCUUGUCUGCAAACGUUUCCAUGAUAUCUCUCCUGCAGCCAGACGGGUCUUUUCCUGCCGCCUACACAGAAUGGCCAUGGAGCAUCCCCAACUCUUAUUAAAAUGGAAAAAAAAAAAGCCUUUGCAUUUCAAUCUAUUAUUGCACUUUAUGACUCAUCUUCAGGUUCUCUCUGCAAAACAUUGAAAGCCAGAUCAUAAUUUGAUGAUGAAAUAUUGAUUAUGCAUUUGUAUGCAGAGGUCUAUACUAUAUAGAUAGAAUUCCCACCCUGUAGUAUCUUCUAUUUUAAGUCAGUAUGAAGAUGGAUGUUCCCCCCAGGCAAAUUUUGAUAAGAUACUUGUGUCAAUACAAAAAGAGAUUAAUGCCAAUGUGAAUCAAUACCCGCUUAUUGGUUUGGGUUGCUUCUUCUCCACGCAGCAGCUGGCACCAAGAGGGGUUUCCAAACACCAGCGGCUCCCAGCCAAUCUGCAUAUUUCUUUAUUUAAAUCAUGAGAGUGGGAAGUGGCAAGGGAAUGGUGGGUUGGCAGGGGGCUGCCCACGCCCACUCCCAAAUUGAGAAGGGAAUGAAAAUAAAACAAACGCAACUUGUCAACAAAUCUGGGAGAAGCUUUAUUACCAUCAUUAGCAGUGUGCUUGUCCUCUGCUGCUUCCAAAAAGAAUAAACUUCAAAUGACAGAAGAAGAGCGGUCUCCAUCCUUGCUGGGUUCUCAGCGUACAGCAGGGACUGGGCUUAUCUUGACUGUGCAUCUGCUGUGUUUCCUGCCCAGCCCCCACUGCCACCUGCAAUGCCCUAUAUUUAGUGCUUCUUUAAAAUCUCAUUUAUCAUCUCCCAUCCCCACCAAAAAGUAAGGUCCAAAACCACGGAGGAUUUUUUUUUUUUGCGGGGGCGGGGGUGGUAUUUUUUGUUCACUGCUGAAUUUCCAA